AAUCAAGCGGGCCACACUUCCUCCCCCAGGUUCUAAUUUUGUGCCACAUUAAAGAGCUCGGCCUCCAUUUAGGACACAGAGAGGCAUUUUCAUAAUUUGCCGGGUCUCUCGACUAGCUCGGGGUGCCUUUUUUUCCUCUCUCUCCUCCCUCUCUCUCUCACUCCGUGUCUGAAUGGAAGGCCUGGGGAGGAAGAGGGGUAAUUCAUUCGCCUCCUUUCAACCAACCGGCUUCAGUUCUGCAUAAUGUUGCUGCUAGUGAUUACAGGGGCCUGCGGGCCUGGCGGCGGCUCCGUGGCUGGGACAGGGAGCUUCUCCCUGGUGCCGGUUUGUAUUUGCACACCGGAGCUGCUAGCUGAGUCCGUGUGUCUCUGCUGGACUUCACAACUCUUCACCCAAUAUUGAUAUAUGCCUAGAAAGAUUAGAGAAGGUCAGGAGUGUGGAGCAGCCAGCAGGGGGGCAGUGAUCAACAGACUGGGGCACCCCUGCCGAGGGGCUCUGGGAUUAGGGCUAAACCCUGCCCUGCCAGAUGGGCACAGCACAUCCCCAGCAUUGCACACCAGCACCUUCUUCUGUGGAAACCAGGCGACUGGAACCACGUUGAUACUCACUGGACCACACAGAAUGGCAGCAGGAGAGAGACGACUGAGAUGAGAGCCAGCCAGUCUGCUCCCAUCAGCCUCAUACGGGCCUGCACCAAAAUUCACCCACAAUAUUUACAAGGGGAGUUCCCAACCGAGAGACACCGAGCAGCCGAGGACUUAAGCAAGGCACCGGAGCUGCAGUGUGCACGCACCCAGGGAUGAGGAGAAAUUAAGGCGGAGGAAAAAGGCAAAUAGGCCGGUGCUGCUGAUGGAGACUUUCAGCUGACAAGAAGUAGAUGACAGAAGAAAAAUGUGAAGAUUUCGAUCAGAGGAAGCGGCUGAGUGGAUCAUAAUAAAGCUCUGGAUUUCUUUUAACAAGCAAACUGCAGAGGGAAAGUUUUGCUGCCUGCUUUGAGAGGAAAGGAGCAGCAACACGUUCAGGAGUUCGCCAACAAACAAACAGAUGCAAUUAAACACACUCGCCUUCAGAUCAUCAAUGAGGAGAGCAAAGUCAAGAUUGGUGGAAGAGGCGACAAGGACGAAUGGAAGACGGGAGAAGACUCUGCCGCCUCAAGGUUAAACUUGAACUGUGUUCAGAGCCUGACUUCACACAAUCUGGAUACUUCUGCAAACACACAUCACUAGCUGUUUCUUUAUAUUGAGCAUCCUCAUUUUACAACCUGAUAUAACUCUUAAUUGAUGUUGUAUGGUAAUGUUUCCUCUGUUUCUUUCUGCCACCGCACUGUCUUGGAGUGAUUAAAAAAUAAUUUGCAAAUAAAGACUAUCAUUGUCAAACCACCA